AGUGUACAGGAUGAUGCUCCAAGCAACUGAGCCACACUGUCCAGGGCCCAGUUUGGGUCUUUUUGCACUGCAUAUUCUAAUUCUCAGGCCACCUCCCUCCAAUUAGGAAUCUUUCAUAAUGUAUGUCUAUAUCACCAAUAUUUGGGGUUCUCUUACCAAUUUUAUUUUCUUAACAUUUAUUUAAAAUGGAUAUGAUUUUUAUACUUAUGAUGGUGGAGUGGUGAAUAUUAAAAAUGAGUAUUAAACAAAGUAAAUGCAUGAGGCAAUGCUAAAAACUAAAAAAGUAGAUUUAACUCAUUUUUAAUGGUAACCACAACAAAAAUCUAAAUUAAAAGGUAUAGAACCACUUUAAAACUUCUCACUUGAUUCUGUUUUUCUUCUCCUGAUGCACACUUUUCUCAAGUUCAAGUUCAAUUUUGAGAAAAAUUUGUUCAGUCUUAACUGAAAUCAUAAAACUAAUUCUCAAUUAUAAGCAUGCUGUUACCAUCUCUAAAAUCUAGAUGAAUCUGGGCAAUCAUGGAGGAAAUUGUUAAGCUCUCUAGAGCUUUAGCAAUGCUUUUGUUGUUCUGACAAGCCAGUCAGGUUGUGAAAAACAUAUCUAGGUAAUUGGGUCCCUCAAGAAAAAAACUUAUUUGUGUGCUACCUAUGGAUGAAGAAACCCAUUAAGAAAACAAUUCAGUAGUUUGGAUCCCACUUAAAACUUCCAGAAUUUUUUUCUCCAUAAGUGUUUUUACCAAACUAGCACUAUUUUAAUUAAAAAGCAUUUACUCACUGCCAUUUUAGUGUAUUUUACAGGGAUAAAAAGAGUGAUUUAAAAAAAAAAGCCUGUGUAUUCAAGCCAUGAGUUUUUUAUUUACCUUUCAUGUAUGGUUUUAAUACAGAUUCUAAAUCUGAGUUUUGACAACCAUUCAAAGUAAUGUUCAUAUAUCUGUUUUGCGUUUCCUUUUAAAACACUCUCAAGUCACAUCUUAGAAAAUGACCCAUCAGAUGAGAUUAACUUUUGAGUUUACAUGCUGCCUCGGGUUAUAUUUAGUGCUACUGUCAAAAGAUUUUAUGGGUCUGCAGAUCUUUCAACUUCAUUCACAUUUUUUUGGCAAGAUUUUUUCUGUGUGUUAUAUUUGUUUCCUCUUGUCAAGUUUCUGACUACUUGAUGCUUAUAAAUGUAUAUAUUUAUAUCUGUGAUGUGAUCCUCAAUACUCGUCUUGCACCAUUUUAUUUUUGACAGUAAGAAGUUAGUUUGUACCAGGACUUGGGCUGAACAAAAUAUGUGUCCAUGCACGUUACGUGUUUUGAGAGGUUGCCCUUUCUCUGGAGAGCAUUUCUAUUUGUGGAUGAGUGUGCUUAGAGUUUCGUGUAUGAGCUACCAGAGAAAGAAGAGUUGUAGCCACAGGAACUCAUCCUUCAUCCACUUGCCCCCUGUCUUCAACCAGACAAGAGGAAAUUCCAGAACCAUUUUCAACCUGUUUUCAAACAAAAGACUGUAGAAAAAUCAUUCAUAAAAAAGAGGAAACCCUAAUCUGAAAAAGUUGGACACUUUCAUUAAUUUUGUUCUGUCUGUUUACAUUUGAAAUCUUUGGGAAAGCAAGUUUAUUUUUGCCAUUUAAAAGGACAUUAGUACGGGCUUCAUAGUUGACCUAGUCCAAUAGUUUAAGUUAAAAGUUUGGGAAAAUGGUGGGUUUUCCCCUUUUUCAUUUGAACAACUGCUUUGUAAAUAAAUGUCCGUGCCUGGCCAGUACUGCAACUGGCUGAAAGACAGAAUGUUUAGGACAGUUCUCUGAUCUUUAUUGAGAAAAAAUUCCAAUUAUGUGCUUUACUCUGCAGGAUGCAAGGAGGCAGCCCUCACCAAAACCUCCAAUGUGAUCUCCAUAUGGACUUCAUGCCCUUAAAAUAACUCUUUCUAAUCUUCUCUCUUACAAUGUUCCAGAUUUAAAUUCCAUCUGUACCCACCUUUAGCUCCUUUGCUGCCACUCCAGGGCUGAGUCCACAUGAAUAAUCUCUCAUCUGUGAGGCUGGGUCAAGCCUGAAGGAUAACUUAAGAAAACACCCUAUCCGUAAGGUUGAACUUAGCUUUCUGGGUUUCAGAAUGGAUGUUCUUUGCUUGAAAGCUACCACAAUGUCGACCUGAAUGUUUUCAUCUUAGACCAUGGUGCAACUUGAAUAACUGCUCUGUUCUAAAAUAACAAAUACUGUAUUAUUGGGGAACUCUUCAUGCCCCUGAGAAGCUCCACCUGGAGGACGAGCCUGGAGCACAUCUUCGUGGCAGUGGUUGUGGCUCUAGGGGAUUGUUGGGGCCGGAAGUAACUGGACAUUGAGGGUGGUGCUGAAAACUUAUGCCUGAUAAAAACUUGCACAGGGAUGUUUACAGCAGCUUUAUUCAUAGUUACCAAAACUUGGAAGCAAAUAAGAUGGCCCUCAGCAAGUGAAUGGAUAAACCGUGGUACCUACAGGCAAUGUAAUGUUAUUCAACACUGAAAAUAAGCAAGUUAUCAAGCCAUGAAAACACAUGAAGGAAACUUAACUGCAUAUUACUAGGUGAAAGAAGCCAGUCUGAAGGGGCCACAUAACUACAUGAUUCCAACUAUAUGCUGUUAUGGGGAAGGCAAACUAUGGAGGCAGUAAAAUGACCAGGAUUGUGAGCGUGGCAGGAACAAAUAGGCAGAGCACAGAGGAUUUUUAGGAAAGCAGAAUUAUUCUGUGUGCUACUACAAUGAUGGAUACUUGUUGUACACAUAUGUGAAAACCCAUAGAAUGUAAAAUGCCAAGAGUGAAUCAGGUGUAAAAACCACACCACUCCGGUGGGGAUAGUGACAGAUGGGAGGCUACACACGUGUCGGGAGGAAAAGGUGUUUGGGAACUUGGAACUUUCCAUUUCGUUUCUGCUCAGUUUUACGGUGUAUCUAGAAUUUCUCCCCCGAACCAAAAAAAAAAAGAGACAUUGAUUAAUGAACAAAAAUUGCUGAUGGGUAUUCAGAAUUGAGAAACCCUUUGAUAUACUGGAAAUAACACGGCCCUUGAAUCACAGAGAGAGAAUUUCAAUCUUGACCCUUCCACUAAUAACUGUGAAAUUCAACUUCUCUGGGUCCCAUUUUUCUCAGGAACAAAUUAGGUGAAUAAUUGUUCAGGAUGGACAUAAGAAGUAGCUGAGAUAACCUCUUACAUGCUCAAUGAACAUUACAGUAGCUGUUAUUUGUAAUUUGCUUUGGGCUGGGGACCCAGUGAGUCUUUACAUCAGAGGCAGAACAAGGAGGCCCUCAAAGACCACAGACAAACCUGCACCCUUUCAGAGGCAGGAUGCAGCAGAUGGAGAAAAGAUUAAGUCUGACCAGUCUCAUGUACAUUGUGUUUUAACAUUUCACUUUUUUCUCCAGCAGUGAUGAUGUGAGAUCUCCUUAGAUAAACUGAUGCUAUUUCUAAAAAAAAUGGAUACUUGAAAAAGUAUUGGAAAUGAUCGAGAACUGGAAUUACUUACACACAGAAAGUAUUUCUUGAUGAGAUUUCCCUUCAAAUAUUAGGAACUUGACUACUAUUUCCAAAAGUAGAAGAAAGAAAAAUACAUACAUGAAAAACAUUGCAAGGAAGUAUUUUUAGUAUAUUGGAUCCUAGUCACUAGUCUUAUUGAGAAAUUAAGCUUACACUGAGGUGCAUCAAUGGAGAGCAAGGACAGGGCGAGUGUACUGAGAAAUACACAGAGAGAAAUUAAGGCAUUUGCGAGGAGUGGGUCACCAUAAAACCUGUCAAAUGGCUUUUCCAUGUUUUCCUUUACACCAUACCAAAAAUCCCCACUUAAAAAACAAAAACAAUACCCAGUGCUAGAACUUGCUAGUCUGCCACAAAGACCAUCCCUUCUAUUUUCCUUCCUAACAGUCCUCCCACCCUCUUUUUGUUAAUAUGCCCUUUGCCCCUUCCACCCCAUGGCCUUCAGUUCUGGGGAUCCGUGUCACUGCUGUAAGAUGAUCCUUUCCUUUGUCAGUGAUGGCUUCACAAAUCGGCCUGUGAUGUGGCUCAGUUUGUGCCAAUGAGACCUGAGGAAGGUUUGCUAAGUGCUUCAGGAAAAGAAAUUCCCUUGCUCUUAAGAAAGACCCACUUGACAGGAAUAUUCUCUCUUUCUCUGGUCAUCAUGGAGGUGCAGACUAGAGCUCAGAACUAACACAGCUCUUUUUCUACCAUGCAGAAGCUAAUCUAAGGGUGAGGGUAAUUCACAGUAGAGGACUCAGUGGCAGGAAUUAUAGAGAAAUAGGACUGGAGUGAGUGGCUUCUUCCAAACCAAUGCUAUGGCUUGCUCUGGAAUUCUAGGUAUGUGAGCCAAUGCCUAUGCUCACCUGAGCGGGCUUAUGUCAGUUUUUGUUUGCUGCUGAAAGCAUUCUAGUUAAUAUCAGCCAACUAAUGAACUGUUACAAAUGGUUAUUUCUGAUAUGUUGGCUUUUAUUAAUGUUGUGCAUGAAAAUUUCAACAAAGAUAUUAUGAGAGCUUGAAGAUCACAGCCCAGGAUAAAGAAAACCAGGAAUUUAAUACACAAGGAAAAUAAUUCUGAAAAGGCAGCUGAUUCGCCUGUCGGAAGCUCCCACCAUUCAUUUUUGAAGGAUUAAACUGUUAUACUAAUGUCCUUUUGAUUCACUUUUCUUUUGACAGUCUUGUGAAUUGUUAUGUGACCUCAUACCCAUCUGGGUUAGAGACAUAACAGAAAUGCCGUGAAUAAUCAUGUAAGAGAAGUGGAAUAGAUUUAAUGUGACUUAAUCAUAUCACAGAAAAUGGGAGCUAAGUAAUGCUGACAGUUAUAGCAAAGUGAUGGCAGGGAAUUCUUUAUCAGUGGGUUUGAGGCAACGUGGAAACUACAUAUAACAGCAUUUUAAGACUAGGCUUUCAAACAGAUAUUUUUUUAAAAGGAUGGGAUAUGUUAUCACAUUGUGAAGAUAUAAAAUGUGUUAUCAAAUUACAAAGAUAGAAUUACACUAUUUUCCAUGAUAUGAAAACAACCUGUCUAUAGUUUUCAGUAUAUAAUUAAUUUUCAACAUAAUGGAAAACAGUGCACAUUCCCUAGACACUCUGAAUAGCCUUCACAUACUUUGAAUUUUACUUAUAAACUUUCUUAAUGGGAGUGGAAUUAGAAUGUAACUAAUGUAGAAUAAAUGCAAUAUGUCA